rnacentral:sRNA from 1 species
AGCAGCCGCGGUAAUUCCAGCUCCAAUAGCGUAUAUUAAAGUUGUUGCAGUUAAAAAGCUCGUAGUUGAAUUUCGGGAUCAAUUGAUUGGUCAUGCCUACGGUAUGUACUAGUCAUAUUGGUUCUCACCUUCUAAUGAACCUUAAUGUCAUUCACUUGAUGUUUUGGGGAAUUAGGACUGUUACCUUGAAAAAAUUAGAGUGUUUAAAGCAGGCUUACGCUUGAAUACAUUAGCAUGGAAUAAUGAAAUAGGACAUCGCAUUCUAUUUUGUUGGUUUCUAGGAUCGAUGUAAUGAUUAAUAGGGAUAGUUGGGGGCAUUAGUAUUCAAUUGUCAGAGGUGAAAUUCUUGGAUUUAUUGAAGACUAACUACUGCGAAAGCAUUUGCCAAGGAUGUUUUCAUUAAUCAAGAACGAAAGUUAGGGGAUCGAAGACGAUCAGAUACCGUCGUAGUCUUAACCAUAAACUAUGCCGACUAGGGAUCGGAUGAUGUUAAUUUUUAAAUGACUCU